GUCACCCGCCAGUCCAAGGACUACCGCCGGCAGCUGGAGCAGGCCCUCCAGCAGGUUGAGGACCUCCGAAUGGUGUUUGCGGUUCCUCUCAGCAAGUACGCAGAGCAGCAGCCCGAUCCGGGCCAGCAGCACCAGCACACAGAGCAGGAGGACGAGGAGGAGCAUGAGGAUGCUCCGGGCAAUUAAAAAAAAUUAAAUAAAGAUUUUUCCAAAAUUUUAAA